GAUGAACGCUGGCGGCGUGCCUAAUACAUGCAAGUCGAGCGAACAGACGAGGAGCUUGCUCCUCUGACGUUAGCGGCGGACGGGUGAGUAACACGUGGAUAACCGACCUAUAAGACUGGGAUAACUUCGGGAAACCUGAGCCAAUACCGGAUAAUAUAUUGAACGGCAGGGUUCAAUAGUGAAAAACGGUUUUGCUGUCACUUGUAGAUGGAUCCGUGCCGCAUUGGUUAGGUGGUAAGGUAACGGCUUACCAAGGCUACGAUGCGUAGCCGACCUGAGAGGGUGAUCGGCCACACUGGAAAUGAGACACGGUCCAGACUCCUACGGGAGGCAGCAGUAGGGAAGCUUCCGCAAUGGGCGAAAGCUUGACGGAGCAACGCCGCGUGAGUGAUGAAGGUCUUCGGAUCGUAAAACUCUGUUAUUAGGGAAGAACAAAUGUGUAAGUAACUAUGCACGUCUUGACGGUACCUAAUCAGAAAGCCACGGCUAACUACGUG
rnacentral:rRNA from 1 species